CCUACGGGAGGCAGCAGUAGGGAAUUUUGCGCAAUGGGCGAAAGCCUGACGCAGCAACGCCGCGUGAUCGAGACGCCCUUCGGGGUGUAACGAUCUGUCAGUGGGGACGAAACUUGACGGUACCCACAGAGGAAGCACCGGCUAACUCCGUGCCAGCAGCCGCGGGAAUACGGGGGGUGCAAGCGUUGUCCGGAAUCAUUGGGCGUAAGGAGUUCGUAGGCGGCACGUAAAGUCUGGUGGUAAAGGCAGAGGCUCAACUUCUGUACGGCACUGGAUACUUGCGAGCUAGAAUGCGGUAGAGGUAAAGGGAAUUCCUGGUGUAGCGGUGAAAUGCUUAGAUAUCAGGAGGAACAUCGGUGGCGUAAGCGCUUUACUGGGCCGUAAUUGACGCUGAGGAACGAAAGCCAGGGUAGCAAAUGGGAUUAGAUACCCGAGUAGUC
rnacentral:rRNA from 1 species